rnacentral:rRNA from 1 species
GACGUAGGGUGCAAGCGUUGUCCGGAAUCAUUGGGCGUAAAGCGCGCGUAGGUGGCCUCAUAAGUCCGCUGUGAAAGUCCAAGGCUCAACCUUGGAAAGCCGGUGGAUACUGUGAGGCUAGAGUACGGAAGAGGCGAGUGGAAUUCCUGGUGUAGCGGUGGAAUGCGCAGAUAUCAGGAGGAACACCAAUAGCGAAGGCAGCUCGCUGGGACGUUACUGACACUGAGGCGCGAAAGCGUGGGGAGCGAACAGG